rnacentral:rRNA from 1 species
GACGAACGCUGGCGGCGUGCCUAAUACAUGCAAGUCGAACGCUUCUUUCCUCCCGAGUGCUUGCACUCAAUUGGAAAGAGGAGUGGCGGACGGGUGAGUAACACGUGGGUAACCUACCCAUCAGAGGGGGAUAACACUUGGAAACAGGUGCUAAUACUGCAUAACAGUUUAUGCCGCAUGGCAUAAGAGUGAAGGGCGCUUUCGGGUGUCGCUGAUGGAUGGACCCGCGGUGCAUUAGCUAGUUGGUGAGGUAACGGCUCACCAAGGCCACGAUGCAUAGCCGACCUGAGAGGGUGAUCGGCCACACUGGGACUGAGACACGGCCCAGACUCCUACGGGAGGCAGCAGUAGGGAAUCUUCGGCAAUGGACGAAAGUCUGACCGAGCAACGCCGCGUGAGUGAAGAAGGUUUUCGGAUCGUAAAACUCUGUUGUUAGAGAAGAACAAGGACGUUAGUAACUGAACGUCCCCUGACGGUAUCUAACCAGAAAGCCACGGCUAACUACGUGCCAGCAGCCGCGGUAAUACGUAGGUGGCAAGCGUUGUCCGGAUUUAUUGGGCGUAAAGCGAGCGCAGGCGGUUUCUUAAGUCUGAUGUGAAAGCCCCCGGCUCAACCGGGGAGGGUCAUUGGAAACUGGGAGACUUGAGUGCGGAAGAGGAGAGUGGAAUUCCAUGUGUAGCGGUGAAAUGCGUAGAUAUAUGGAGGAACACCGGUGGCGAAGGCGGGUCUCUGGGCCGUUACUGACGCUGAGGAGCGAAAGCGUGGGGAGCGAACAG